UGUGAUUGGUUUAGGCAGCAAGUGGC
rnacentral:piRNA from 1 species